UACGUAGGUGGCAAGCGUUGUCCGGAUUUACUGGGCGUAAAGGGCGUGCAGGCGGUUUGUUAAGUGCAGGGUGAAAGCUCCCGGCUCAACUGGGAGAGGUCCUUGCAUACUGGCAAACUCGAGGGAGGCAGAGGAAAGUGGAAUUCCCGGUGUAGUGGUGAUAUGCGUAGAUAUCGGGAGGAACACCUGUGGCGAAGGCGGCUUUCUGGGCCUUUACCUGA
rnacentral:rRNA from 1 species